rnacentral:rRNA from 1 species
AUUGAACGCUGGCGGCAGGCCUAACACAUGCAAGUCGAACGGUAACAGGAAGAAGCUUGCUUCUUUGCUGACGAGUGGCGGACGGGUGAGUAAUGUCUGGGAAACUGCCUGAUGGAGGGGGAUAACUACUGGAAACGGUAGCUAAUACCGCAUAACGUCGCAAGACCAAAGAGGGGGACCUUCGGGCCUCUUGCCAUCGGACGUGCCCAGAUGGGAUUAGCUUGUUGGUGGGAUAACGGCUCACCAAGGCGACGAUCCCUAGCUGGUCUGAGAGGAUGACCAGCCACACUGGAACUGAGACACGGUCCAGACUCCUACGGGAGGCAGCAGUGGGGAAUAUUGCACAAAGGGCGCAAGCCUGAUGCAGCCAUGCCGCGUGUAUGAAGAAGGCCUUCGGGUUGUAAAGUACUUUCAGCGGGGAGGAAGGGAGUAAAGUUAAUACCUUUGCUCAUUGACGUUACCCGCAGAAGAAGCACCGGCUAACUCCGUG